rnacentral:rRNA from 1 species
AGAGUUUGAUCCUGGCUCAGAACGAACGCUGGCGGCGCGUUUUAAGCAUGCAAGUCGAACGGUAUUGGGGUGCUUGCACCCUGAGAGAGUGGCGAACGGGUGAGUAACACGUAGGUAAUCUGCCUCUGGGUACGGGGAUAGCCCAUGGAAACAUGGGGUAAUACCCGAUAAUUUAUACUUCGUGAUGGAGUAUAGGAAAGGCGCUAAGGUGCCGACCUGAGAUGAGCCUGCGGCUUAUUAGUUAGUUGGCAGGGUAAAGGCCUACCAAGGCGAUGAUAAGUAGCCGGCCUGAGAGGGUGACCGGCCACACUGGGACUGAGACACGGCCCAGACUCCUACGGGAGGCAGCAGCUAAGAAUCUUCCGCAAUGGGCGAAAGCCUGACGGAGCGACGCCGCGUGAAUGAAGAAGGCCGUGAGGUUGUAAAGUUCUUUUCUUGUGGAGGAAUAAUGUAAGGAGCGACUGCCUUACAGAUGACGUGAAACAAGGAAUAAGCCCCGGCUAAUUACGUGCCAGCAGCCGCGGUAACACGUAAGGGGCGAGCGUUGUUCGGAAUUAUUGGGCGUAAAGGGCGCGUAGGCGGUUUACCAAGUCUGGUGUGAAAGACCACAGCUCAACUGUGGAGACGCAUUGGAAACUGGCAGGCUAGAGUAUAGGAGGGGAAGCUGGAAUUCCUGGUGUAGGGGUGAAAUCUGUAGAUAUCAGGAAGAACACCGGUGGCGAAGGCGAGCUUCUGGCCAUAUACUGACGCUGAGGCGCGAAAGCGUGGGGAGCGAACAGGAUUAGAUACCCUAGUAGUCC